UACAGAGGUCCCAAGCGUUGUUCGGAUUCACUGGGCGUAAAGGGUGCGUAGGCGGUUUGACAAGUCUGAUGUGAAAUCCCGCAGCUUAACUGCGGAACUGCAUUGGAAACUGUCUGACUAGAGGAAUGGAGGGGAGACUGGAAUGCUUGGUGUAGCAGUGAAAUGCGUAGAUAUCAAGCGGAACACCAGUGGCGAAGGCGAGUCUCUGGACAUUUCCUGACGCUGAGGCACGAAAGCCAGGGGAG
rnacentral:rRNA from 1 species